rnacentral:rRNA from 1 species
GAUGAACGCUAGCUACAGGCUUAACACAUGCAAGUCGAGGGGAAACGAUAGGGAAAGCUUGCUUUUUCUAGGCGUCGACCGGCGCACGGGUGAGUAACGCGUAUCCAACCUGCCCAUCACUUGGGGAUAACCUUGCGAAAGUAAGACUAAUACCCAAUGACGUCUCUAGAAGACAUCUGAAGGAGAUUAAAGAUUUAUCGGUGAUGGAUGGGGAUGCGUCUGAUUAGCUUGUUGGCGGGGUAACGGCCCACCAAGGCGACGAUCAGUAGGGGUUCUGAGAGGAGGGUCCCCCACAUUGGAACUGAGACACGGUCCAAACUCCUACGGGAGGCAGCAGUGAGGAAUAUUGGUCAGUGGACGAGAGUCUGAACCAGCCAAGUAGCGUGCAGGAAGACGGCCCUAUGGGUUGUAAACUGCUUUUAUAAGGGAAUAAAGUGAGUCUCGUGAGACUUUUUGCAUGUACCUUAUGAAUAAGGACCGGCUAAUUCCGUGCCAGCCGCCGCCGUAA